UUAUAUUCACCGCUACACAGAACCCAUCCCAAUUCUAAGGUCAAAAGAGGAUGCACUUGAGAGGAAACAAAUACAAUUCCUAUAUGAUUUCCUGGGCAGACAUCCAAGCACGGCUUCUCAGUGCACUCUCAAGUAUGACAAAGAAGCAGCUUCCCCAGGUGGUGUGCCCAGCAAGAUACCUUCAUAUUGCUUGAGGAUCUCAUCAAGGAAAAUAAGCUCGGAUACUGUCAGCAGUUCCUCACCUCUAACUGAAGACAUACAAGCAAUAUAUGGCUGCCAUGAGGAUAAUAAUCAUUAUUCUCCAGGAACAAGUCCCAAUGAAUUAUCUGGACCUAAGUGGUCAGUCCUAAGCACAUAUAUAUGUGAGCAACACUACGUGGGCUCAGCAGAACAGCAAGCACUAAUACAAGAAAGAAGGCUACCGAGCAAAAGUAGCUAAGCUCUGCCACUGCAGUCCAAGGAAGCCUUUAACUUAACCUUUCUGCUUCAGUCUCUGGAAUAUCUGGUAUGUGAGACAAAGGCUCUAACAUUACACAUUCUGACUACCACAGUAUUCAAGUUUCUGGUUUGACUUAGAGGCUAAAUGCUCUCUCAGCGCCAUCCUUUUCUUGCCCUUUAAUAGAAAUUUUGAUAAGCACCAUAUCCCCUGUAACUGACUUUAGUAAAUAUUUAAGAUACCCUAUAACUGUAGAUAUUUAACAGCCCUGUAAUUACUUCUUUGUAUGUUUCCAAACUAUGCUAGAUCUUCACAUCAAGUGUCAAUGUUUGAAUGAGAAUAUACCUCUGCAUAGGGCAAUAUAUUAGAGUGCGUGGUCCCUAGUUGUUGGAACUGUUUGGGAAGAAUUUGGAGGUGUAGCCUUAUUGAAGGUGUAUGAUACUGGGGGCAUGUUUUGAGGCUUCAAAAGUCCAUGCUGUUCCUAGUUGCCCUUUUGCUUCAUGCUUGUUGAUCAAGAUGCAUGCUCCCAGCUACAAUUCCAGAUUCAUGCCGACUUGCCUGCUGCCACGCUGCCUAUCAUGAAGGUCAAGGACUGUAACAUUGCCACGCUGCCUAUCAUGAAGGUCAAGGACUGUAACAUUCUGGAACCAUGAGCCCUCAAUGAAAUAUUUCCUUUUACAAGUUGCCUUGGUCAUGUUGUUUCAUCACAGCAAUAGAAAAGUAACUAAGAUAUUGGGAAAUUCAGUACCACUCACCUGGAGACUUUCAGGUAUUAUAGAGAUAAUCAUGCCAUUCUCAGAGUGCUUCCAGUUCCUAUUACUAUAUUUGCAUUUUAGAUUUUACCACUUUAACAACUUAAUGCCACUAUGUUAUUAUAGCCACAAAUUAUUAGUGCAGUCAUUCUGGCAGGAGAGAAUAAUUGACUUUUUGUCUGCUCUCUAAUAUAUAGAACCAUCAUUAAAAAAAAAGACGAUCAGAAAAUGCAUAAUUCAAAGUUUGGGUCAUGAAAUCAUCUGGAAACACCUUCAUUCAUGUGGCUAUUAGCUGGGAUAUUAGCUAGGUUGUCUAUCGGUGCACAUAAGUGUACAUGGUAUUUUCACAUGGAUUGUGUUUUCCAACGUGGAUGUCUCAGAGAUACAGUUUUUUUCCUAUCAAAGCAGGAAUGUCCAAGGUACAGUAUCCUAACCAAUAUAACUGAAUAUCCAUCAUCUAUUGAUAGCCCAGGAAAAGCCAUGCUAUCAUUUGCUUAACUUUGUUAUUAGAAGUAAGUCAUAAACUCAUAGGUUAAGGUGAAAGAACACCUUUUAAACUCUUUCACAAAUGAGAUAAUUUAUAACAUUAAAAAGCAUACUUCAGUGUCAUUGAAAGUGGAUAGACUCUUAAAUAAGUUUAUAAACUUUUCUCUAAAUGAUGCGAAAUAGCUAUGUUUUCAGAAUUACUUAUUUAAAACAUGUUUCUUCUCCAGAAUUUGGUAAGCAGAAUAUGAAGAGUGUCACUAAUGGCAUGUAUACACUGGUAUAACUUUGUACUCUGGAUUGAGGGAAGGGCUUAUGUCUUACUCCUAAUCAGUACCAUAUGUCCAAGAUGAAGGGCUUUGUAGAUACAAUUAAAGCCUACUUUCAGCUCUUUUAAUAAAGGUAAAUCAAAGAGGUUAAUAUCUUGAAUAAUUUUGACACAGCUAUAAAUGUUCAUUAAAAGAGUCUUGAUGUCAGAAGAAUUUUCAUCUUGCCUUGGAGAAGAAGCAAGUACUGAUAAGCUCUGUAGAUGUGAUGAAAUUAGUUCAACUAACCACCUGAGUUUGCUUAGAAGCAAGUUUACUUGUGACUUCAAAUGAGAAAACAGCAGCUCAGAUAAAACCUGACACCACCCUUGUGAAAUCUUAAGUAAAGGUCCUUGUUAAGAAGUGCCUAUACUGCUGACCUAAGUCUUGUAAGCCUUAUUAAAUCUAAAUCCUCUGGUGUUGAAUCCUGAUGAAUCCACCAUUUAAACUGGGAGACACACAUGGCUAUGUCUUGUUCUCAUGCUAUCCCUAUCUGAAAAGAGCCUCUCUCUUGCCUCCUCCUCUCUUCUGCUCUCCAACCUGGAAGUCCCUCC